rnacentral:rRNA from 1 species
GACGAACGCUGGCGGCGUGCUUAACACAUGCAAGUCGAACGUGAUUUUUAUGGAAAGCCCUUCGGGGACGGAAAUGAAAUGAAAGUGGCGAACGGGUGAGUAACACGUGAGCAACCUACCUUACACAGGGGGAUAGCCGUUGGAAACGACGAUUAAUACCGCAUGAGACCACUAAGACACAUGUUUUGGAGGUAAAAGAUUUAUCGGUGUAAGAUGGGCUCGCGUCUGAUUAGCUAGUUGGAAGGGUAAAGGCCUACCAAGGCAACGAUCAGUAGCCGGUCUGAGAGGAUGAACGGCCACAUUGGAACUGAGACACGGUCCAAACUCCUACGGGAGGCAGCAGUGGGGAAUAUUGCACAAUGGGGGGAACCCUGAUGCAGCGACGCCGCGUGAGCGAAGAAGGUUUUCGAAUCGUAAAGCUCUGUCCUAUGAGAAGAUAAUGACGGUAUCAUAGGAGGAAGCCCCGGCUAAAUACGUGCCAGCAGCCGCGGUAAUACGUAUGGGGCGAGCGUUGUCCGGAAUUAUUGGGCGUAAAGGGUACGUAGGCGGUUUUUUAAGUCAGGUGUGAAAGCGUGAGGCUUAACCUCAUUAAGCACUUGAAACUGGAAGACUUGAGUGAAGGAGAGGAAAGUGGAAUUCCUAGUGUAGCGGUGAAAUGCGUAGAUAUUAGGAGGAAUACCGGUGGCGAAGGCGACUUUCUGGACUUUUACUGACGCUCAGGUACGAAAGCGUGGGGAGCAAACAGG